rnacentral:lncRNA from 1 species
AAGAGUUCUCAACCCUGUCAACAUCAACAUCAAGUUUCUUUAGUGAUUCUAGUUUUUUCUAACAAUUCCAACAAUCAAUUAGUUCCGAUUCAAUAACUACCACGUCAAUAACAACCGCAACAAAGAACCAACUUCAACAACAAGAAUAAUCAACAACAUAACUUUUAGAGGAAGAAGGUCUCCUUUGACCCUAUUGGUAUGUCAUACACAGAAUUAUAUCCAUCCUUGGUUUCCAAGAACCACAUUCAACCCAG